AAGCAUCGGAGGAAGAGAACGUGGUAAUAUUGACUCCAAUCCAGAAGACAGUCAUCAGUUAAGUAAAUAAAACAGGAACAGAACAUUGGUACUUACAGUAGGCAUGAUUUUAAGAUAAACCCCAAUGAGUCAUAUCCUUGUAUAAUCUCCUCCCCUUGAGUGUUGUUGGAGCUAAUGAGUUGCAUUUAGUGAACAGAAUAUGGCAAAGAUGGUGGGAUCGUCACUUCCGUGGUUAUGUUAUUGCUAUGUAAACUGCCAUUAUAGCAGACUGGAAGGAUUGAUUCUCCUUUUGGCCAUGACGUAGUGAGGUACCAUGUGACAAGAAACUGCAGGCAGCCUCCUGAGUCUGAGAGUGGCCCCUGGCUGACAGCUAGCAAGAAAACAGGGACCUCAGUCCUCCAGCUUCAAGGAAGUGAACUCUCUGAAAUCACAUACACAUGGAAGAGGACCCCAAACUCCAGACUCCAGAAAAGAAUGUAGCUGUGUCGACACCUAGAUCACAGCCUUGUGAGACCCUGAGCAGGGGACCCAGUUAGGCUGUGCCUCAACUCCUGACCUAUAGAAACUGAGAUGAUAAAUGGGUGUUGUUUUAAGCCACUAAACUGGGAUGUGUUAUGAAAUGACAGAAAUUUAAUACAGUCUCCGUAUUCAGGGUGGAGUGUAAGGGAGUGUGUUUAAAUCUCAGCUUUGCUACUUAUUAGAUGUACA
rnacentral:lncRNA from 10 species